GUCAGCCUACUUCCUCAAGACAUCUCUUGAAAGACCCUUGCUAAAAGGUGGCGUUGGAGAAGAUGACACCCCCACUCCACGGCAGCAAUAGAUGCAGGCCUUUCCACGUUGGUUCUGUGAGACCCAAGCCUAAGUCCAGCUGGAGCGGG